ensembl:lncRNA
UGCUCUGCUCGUCCUUUACUUCUACUCCCUGGAUGCACGACAAACACACACACACACACACACAGAAAAAACACACACAAGAGUGAUCUACAGCCAGACAGGAAGCCGCCCCCCCCUCCUCUGUUUCCAGUUUCCAGCAUGGAUGGAUGUGUGUGUGUGUGUGUGUGUGUGUGUGUGUGUGUGUGUGUGUGUGUGUGCAAUCGGCUGGAGGCAGACUGAGCGACGCUGGAAGAGAAUGACACACACACAGGAGAAGAUAGUGGAGCUCGGCAUCCUGACUGGAACUACCAGGUGAAACCUCUUACCAAGCGGCCCUGGAAGCCACCAGCUGAUUGGAGCAAAAGGGGAAUGAAAGGCCGUGGAAGCCAGGAUGAGCCGGAUGAGCUGGGAGUAGCUGGAGGCGUGCAACUUGCAGAGUGUGUUCGAGUGUCUGCGUUUGCCGGGUUGUGCUGGUACUUGUUUGUGGUGGCGUUUUUGUUUCUGCUGUUGGACAGUAUGAUUUUGAGUUUGAACCUGAU